CCCUUAGAUGUUCUGGGCUGCACACGCGCUACACUGAAGGGAUCAGCGUGUUCUUUUCCUGGUCCGAAAGGAUCGGGUAACCCGCUGAACCCCCUUCGUGGUAGGGAUCGGAGCUUGCAAUUAUUCUCCGUGAACCAGGAAUUCCCAGUAAGCGCAAGUCAUAAGCUUGCGUUGAUUACGUCCCUGCCCUUUGUACACACCGCCCGUCGCUACUACCGAUUGGACGUUUUAGUGAGGAUUUUGGACUGAGCCAAUGGUGGUUCAAACCACUGUUGUGCAUGGAAAGAUCUCCAAACUUGAGCGUUUAGAGGAAGUAAAAGUCGUAACA
rnacentral:rRNA from 1 species